CAACUAUAUUUGGUGUAUGGAAAUAUUUUAUGAUGUACAUGUCAGUCUCGUAGGUUUUAUUUGACCUUGACCUCAUUUUCACGAUUCAUUUCUCAGUGUUAAGUUUUUAAACAACCGCAAAAAAAUUUUUGUGGUCGUAUAUUGGCAUGACGUUGUUGUCGUCGUCAUCGUCGUCCGAAGACACAUUAGUUUUCGCACUCUAACUUAAGUUUAAGUGAAUGGAUCUCAAUGAAGUUUUACCAUAAGGUUAAAUACCACUAAAGAAAGGUGGGGAUUGAAUUUGGGGGUUAUGGUACCAACAGUUAAGGAAUUAGGUGCCAAAAAGGGGCCAAAAAUAAGCAUUUUUGUAACUUCCAGACGUAACUUGUGUGUAAGUGUAUGGAUCUCUCUGACAUUGUACCACAAGGUUCCAUAUCACAAAGGGAAUGCUGGGAUUGAUUUUGGGGGUAAUUGCCUCCAAAUUUUAGGAAUUAGGGGCCAAAAAGGGGCAAAAAACAAGCAUUUUUCUAGUUUCAUGACAAUAACUUGUGUGUAAGUCUAUGGAUCUCUCUGACAUUGUAUCACAUGGUUCCAUAUCACAAAGGGAAUGCUGGGAUUGAUUUUGGGGGUAAUUGCCUCAAAAUUUUAGGAAUUAGGGGCCAAAAAGGGGCAAAAAACAUGCAUUUUUCUAGUUUCAUGACAAUAACUUGUGUGUAAGUGUAUGGAUCUUUAUGAAAUUGUACUACAAGGUUCCAUUUCACAAAGGGAAAGCUGGGUUUGAGUUUGGGGGUAAUUGCCCUAAACGUUUAGGAAUUUGGGGCCAAAAUGGGGCCAAAAAACAAGCAUUUUUCUUGUUUCCAGACAAUAACUUGUGUUCAAGUGUAUGGAUCUCUCUGAAAUUGUACUGCAAGGUACCAUACCACAAAGGGAAGGCUGGGAUUGAGUUUGGGGGUGAUGAAUCAUAAGGGGGUUCAAAAAAUUUGGGGGGGGGGAUUUUUUUCCCCUUUUUUUUCUUUAAAAUUUUCCAUUUUAAAUUGGUUAUUUCUGAUUUAUAUAUAAAAGCAAAUAAUAAUAAUAUGGUUUGAAU